rnacentral:rRNA from 1 species
GAUGAACGCUGGCGGCGUGCCUAAUACAUGCAAGUCGAGCGAAUUGACAGAGGUGCUUGCACCUCUCGAUUUUAGCGGCGGACGGGUGAGUAACACGUGGGUAACCUACCUAUAAGACUGGGAUAACUUCGGGAAACCGGAGCUAAUACCGGAUAAUAUUUAGCUUCGCAUGAAGCAAUAGUGAAAGACGGUUCUGCUGUCACUUACAGAUGGACCUGCGGUGUAUUAGCUAGUUGGUGAGGUAACGGCUCACCAAGGCAACGAUACAUAGCCGACCUGAGAGGGUGAUCGGCCACACUGGGACUGAGACCCGGCCCAGACUCCUACGGGAGGCAGCAGUAGGGAAUCUUCCGCAAUGGACGAAAGUCUGAGGAGCAACGCCGCGUGAGUGAAGAAGGUUUUCGGAUCGUAAAACUCUGUUGUAAGGGAAGAACAAGUACGUUAGUAACUGAACGUACCUUGACGGUACCUUACCAGAAAGCCACGGCUAACUACGUGCCAGCCGCCGCAGUAAAAC